rnacentral:rRNA from 1 species
AGAACGAACGCUGGCGGCAUGCCUAACACAUGCAAGUCGAACGGACGUCUUCGGACGUUAGUGGCGCACGGGUGCGUAACGCGUGGGAAUCUGCCCUUAGGUUCGGAAUAACUCAGGGAAACUUGAGCUAAUACCGGAUAAUGACUUCGGUCCAAAGAUUUAUUGCCUAGGGAUGAGCCCGCGUAGGAUUAGCUUGUUGGUGAGGUAAAGGCUCACCAAGGCGACGAUCCUUAGCUGGUCUGAGAGGAUGAUCAGCCACACUGGGACUGAGACACGGCCCAGACUCCUACGGGAGGCAGCAGUGGGGAUAUUGCGCAAUGGGCGAAAGCCUGACGCAGCAACGCCGCGUGGGGGAUGAAGGCUCUCGGGUUGUAAACCCCUUUCAGUAGGGACGAAUUCAGACGGUACCCUGGGAAUAAGGCUCGGCUAACUCUGUGCCAGCAGCCGC